GUCUUUCUCUCCUUAUCCCCCGAGCAUUUCGGUCCCUCGUGAUUCGACUUCUCUUUCUGUAGCUUAGUAUAGUAAGGUGAGCGCUGAAGCGCUGCACGAAUCUUUCUUAGAAAGAUUCAGCGACGAAGUUCUGCCCCUGCAGAGCCCGACUCCUAGCUAAAACCCCCUUGUUUCGUCGAAGGAAAAUAGAAUCGUUAGAAGCAAGCGCUGCCCGAUUUUGGAACCAUCACCUUAACAAGUAGUGGCGCAUGAGCAUAGGUGUGAUGUUUUGGACAAGGGAUUACGGAUAUAGGCCUGUAGAUAUGAAAUAAUGUAGUUAUGGGUUCUCCUUAAAGGAUUUUGAAGGUAAAAUUGCUUAUGGAUACUUUGAUUCAUAGUGGUCUCCCAAUAAAGGUUCCUGAUGCAAGGUAUUUCAUGAUUUUUUGAUUUUGAUUCUUUUUUUUAUGUAGUUAUAAUUUUGGGAUUUUUAUGGAGCCAAACCCGAUACUUUGGGUUUUUGUUUUGGAGACUUUUUUCGGUAAUGACAAUAUUCGAUGAUUUGUGUCUAAUUUUCAUAUAAAUAAAAAAAUAUAUUCACAAGUUAUUGGUUGGAAACCGAAUAGAAGAAGUUUGAUUCCAUAUUUAAAUUUGCAUAUGAAAUACAAUUAUUAUUAUGCCUCCAAUUGUCACGAUGGUGUUUUUAUCUGUUUACCAUUUCUCUUCUUCUUCAGUUUGUUGUUUAUUACUGUGUUGUGUGGUAUUUAAUUGUGAUAAUCUAAUGGUAUUCAAAAUCCUCUUGUAUAAGAUUUUGGUGAUGGAAAACUUGAAUUUGACGUUGCAUUCUAUGUGUUUGAUAAAAUGCCAAUGAGAAGUUCUUUUUCAUAUCAAAGAUUGUUACAAACUUCAAUGUAUGUUUGUGUGUGUAUGUGUGUUCCUUCUUUACUCCAUGAAUUUGAAAUUCGGUGUGAAGAUUGAGACCAGUAAAACUUUUGUUUGAUAUUUAAAUGCUUUUGCUUUUAUGAAAACCAUCAUAUGGUUUAAAAAAGAGCAUGUAUUUUUCUAGCAACUAAAAGUAAGUCAUUUAUAAGAACUAAUUUUCUUUCAAAAAAAUUGGAAUCAUGAACACGUUAUAAUUUAUUUCAGUUUUCUAUGUUUAUUAUUACAUGAUUAACAUUUGUGGUUGUCACUAACAAAUGAUAAUAAGACUUGAUGAUUAACAUCCACCAUUAUCUAACACAACUGAUACAAUUUUAUUACUUUGCAGUUUUUUAUUAUUUUUAUUAUUUAAUUACUUUUCUAAAAUCUUUUUUUGGUCCGUUUAAAUUCUUCCAUUGUGUGGUGUCUAUGUGCAUCAGUUGAGUGUAGAAGUCAAUUAGCCUAACUGAUUUCUUAGGGUAUGAUCCUUCUAAGACACAUAUUUUUACUUUUAUAGCCAUAUUAUUAAUUAAUUGUUUUUAACUAAUAUCAUUGAGUCAUAUAUCUAUGAUUUUGUCUUUAUUGUUUUGAAAAACAUUUGCCAAAAUAGGGUGAAAAUGAACCAUUAAAUUGUUGUUAUCAGGUGAAAACUUAAGUUGCUCAUAUCAACACCAUUUCAAUUGAUCAUGAAGAUUAUAAGUCACUUACAUAAUGUUUGGUGAAAACUUAAGUUGCUCAUAUCAACACCAUUUCAAUUGAUCAUGAAGAUUAUAAGUCACUUACAUAAUGUUUUCAGUUGACUUUGAGUUGGUUGGAGUUAAAAUAUAAUUUAUUUGAUGAGGAUUACUAUCACAUAGGAUGAAACAUAGGAUUGUUGUGUUAAAGAAAGAAAUAUCAUCUUAAUAGCGGUGGCAUCACCAUUUUAAUUUUUAUUGUGCUUGUAGAAAAGGUGUCGUGAAGUUGUUGAAGUUGUGAUAGGGUUUAAUGUUACUCUUCAAGGAGGCCGAAUUCAAGGCAAAACUAAGGGUGAUAACGACUCAAAAACCAACCUCUUUUAAAGAAAACAGUUCAAAAAUAGUAGCACACUUAAUAUUAUUGUUUUGUUUUUUAUAUAAUCCUAUUUUUAAGUGAUAAAUGCUAAAAAAUCCAUCUCUUUUAGAGGCUGUCAAAAAAUGUCUUAUUACAAAUUGUUUAUUUGUUUUUUUUAUAGGAUCUUACUUUUAUUGAUUUGUUUGUUUGCAAUCUUACUUUCCUAAAUUUGUUUUUAAAGCAUUUUACUUUGGUUUUUUGUAGAAUAUUUCGUGUGUCCCAAAGAAUCAUAUUUUUUUUAAAACAUAUAUACAUGUAAUUUGUGUCCAUGUAUGCAACAUGCUACAUGAUAUCCAAAAAUGUGGACUAAUUUAUGUUUAUGAUAAGCAUUAGUGGAUUAUAUUAAUUUGUGUUUGUAUUUUAUUGUGCUUUUCUCAUUCUUCAUAUACAAAAACGGCAUAUUCCCCUUAGUGUUGUUUCUUCAUAUAUAAAAACGGCAUAUUCCACUUAGUGUUGUUAUUAAAUGAAAUUGUGAUUAUGUAAGCAUAAAAAUAUUGAUUUUGAUUGUUGUAACAUGCAGUGCGAUUGAAAUGGUCAAAAUGGAUGGUAACUUUAUUCUUGUGGUGAAAAUGAUUCACCCCAAAUUGAUUUAAACUAAUAAUUAAACAAUUACAUAGAAUAUUUAACGACAUUUUUGGAAGUGUGCCCUUACUUGUAAUGUCCCAGAGUUUCAGAAAGGUAUGGAAGAAAUGCAAAACCUUAAAAAAGACCGUUUUAAGCAAGGUUGUAAAAAUCGAUCGGCGGUAGCUCGAAGGUCGACUGGGGUCCAACGAUUAAUCGGUUUGGCGGGACUUAAUCGGAGGAUUAAUCGAAGACCAUGAAUUACUAAUAAAACUAUUUUAAAACUUAAUAUAUCAUAAGAAAAAAUAGUAUUUGAAAAUUUAAAAUUUGAAAAUUUGAAAUGUAUGGUAUAAUAUUUGAAUAUUUAAAAAUUUAAAAAUUUAAAAUUUUGAAGUUUUGUAAAUUUUGGUGUAAUAUUUGAAAUUUUGAAAAUUUGAUUUUUUUUGAAAUCUUCCCGCCAAGGACCGCAGAGGACCACCAAGGACCGUCGAGGUCCGCCUAGUCUGAGUUUGACCGAUAUUGACCAAUUUCCGCCAAACACCCCUAAUCAUAAUCAGCUGCAGACCACCUAGCGCCUAGGCCGAUAUUUACAACACUAGCUUUAAGCGGUUGAGUAAGAUAACACCUCAACAUUGGGCUAGGUCCCACUUCACAAGUCGGAAACAUCUAUCUACUUUUAUAUAUUUUAUAUUUUGUAAUGCUAUAAUUCGGAAAUAUGUAUUUAUAUGCAGUUGCUUUUCAUGACAGGGAGAUCACAUUGUUAUGCUUUACUUACUAAUUUAUGUGAUUCCUUCAAUAGUAAGUUAGGUGAGGGGUGUGAUACACCUAUUAUCACGUGCUUGGAGUUUAUCGAGGAGUACAUUAUGAAGAAGAUUGUGAAUGUGGAAAAAGAAAUUGCCAGAGCUGCAAGCCUUUUGAUUCUAAUAACCUCCAAAACAUUGGAAAAAAUCAAGCUUGAGGUAGAAAAAUAUGUAGCUAAUUAUUGUGGUAAUGAGAAGUACCAAGUUGUUGGUUCUUGGAAUGACUAAUGUGUGAUAACAACCAAAUCUAGUCAAACAAAGUCAACAAACAUCAACUAGGUCAACUUAACUUGUA